rnacentral:lncRNA from 1 species
UCUUCUUUUCGCAGUUGAGCUUUCAAGCAGAAACAGGCUUGGAAGCUGCCCAGAGUGGCUGGAGAAAUUAAUAACAACAACAAUAAUAAUAAAUUUUAUUAUUAUUAUUAUUAUUCCUGCCCUCCAGCUUCCUGCCCCCUUAACCUGAGCCUUGCCCCUCUUUUGCCUUCUCUUUUGGAACAGCCACAUCUCCAAGCAAAACUGCAGCUUCCUUGCACAGAGAUUGCCCAGAGGUCAUGGAGGGCUUCCCUGGCUGCCUUUCCCUGGAAGGGAACCAAAGCCCUGGGUUCAGAUCUCAGCCGCAGGCCUCUCUCCCCCAAUGAAACAAGUUUUGAACUGCACACAGGAUGGACUUUCAGGAGGAAGUCGGAGCUGGGACAGCUCAGUUCGCAGAGUGCCAGACUUUCCAUCUCAAAGUCAGGGGUUCGAGUCCGACGGCGGGCGAAAAGAUUCUUCCAUUGCAGAGGGUUGGACUACAAAACGACCUUUGUCGUCCCUUCCAACUCUACGAUUCUAUGAAAUCCUAAAACGUUUCUGUUUGCCCAGACAUUUGAAAGACAUUGUUCCCAAUAACCCUGAGAUGUUUUUAACUGUUUUUAAACAGGGAUCUUUCAUGAGGAAGGGUGGGAUAUAAAUCAAAUAAAGGAGAAGAAAUUUAGAGUAUUGAGUAAAUUUAGUUAUAAAAAUAUUUAUUUAGUACAUUACCGUAUUGGCCCGAAUAUAAGCUGCACCUGAAUAUAAGCCGCACCUUUAAAAUUCAAGGUGUGUGGACUUCCUGGAGGCGGCGCGAAACGGCAAUGGCGGUCCUCUUCGGUCUCUGAAGAGGGGCUCCGCAGAAAAGGGUCGUCCGCUGCGGCACAGCGGUGACCCAUUAAGAAAAACCACGGGCAGAGUGAGCCCGUGGCCGUGGGACUCGGCGGGCACCAGGAGCGACCCCAAAAACGAAGAAGGAACCUCGUAGGGGCUCCGGAAACGUGGAAGGGGGAGCGGUGCUGUGAGUUCAUCGCUCUUUCUGCGGGAGCGAAGCCGCGCGGCUGCUGCUGAUGAGCGCCGACCUUUCUUCUUGGAACAUCAGGCUGUAAACUACCUACUCGUGAGUAAGGAUCAAUCAUUUUGGAACUAAAAGUGUUAAAUUUGGCUGAAAGCGGGAGACGAUAAACAGGAAGUCCGUCUUCCGGCAGUGCUUUAAAGAUCAAAGGCAAAGAUUUUAACAAGCGGGAAGCAGCUUUAAAAGAUUAUAAAUUUGGGACUAUCGUGUUGAUAGAAUUGGCUUUUAAAAAGAAGGAGAAAAGAUUUUUAUUUCUAAGUGUUUUGGACUUUAAAUGGGACUUUCCUCCCCUUUAUGGAUUAUAAAGAAUUAAGAACCAAACCUCGGACUGACAGGAAAAAAGAGAGCUGUCAUUGCGGAAACUGUAUCCAAAAUAGAGACUGUUACAGUUGAGUGAUACUGGUAAGAUACAAUUAAAUAAACUGUUACUGGCACCUUUUAUCUGAGACUUUGUGGCAGCUUGGGAAGUGCUCUGUAAGCUAAAAAGUUUAUGAAGGACUUUUGGUAAAUUAGACUGUUUUGGGGCUGCAGGGACUUUAAUGGCGGAUAAAGUUCUUUCCUUUCUAUGAACUACAGUAAUACUCCCCCCUAGUGGAGUUCUGGAAUUACAAGUGCCUGGGAACAAAUUUUAUUUGGACUAUCUGCUGCUCUGUUAUUUACACUUUGGAACUGUCCUUCCCAUGGGACAAUAUACAGCUUGACCUUGACUCAUAGACAGGUGUGGAAUGAGUGGCCAACCGAAAACAAGAUCUGCUAAAACGAAAGCAAGACAAGCCCAACUUGUGCAAACAACUUUGACUACUCAGUCACGUAGAUCAUCUGUCCCAGCUGUUUUGGGAGUACAAGAAAAGGAAACUGCACAGCCUGCAUCAGAGGAUAUGGCAGAGGGAGGAUCAGAUACCUUCUUAAAACAAAUGCUAGAACAAUUUGCAAUAUUGAACAAGAAGGUGGAUGACCAAUCGGCAAAAAUAGAUCAAGCCACAUCCUCUAUUACUAAAUUGUCUGACCAAGUUGCACAACAUACACAAGUUAUUGGGAAUCUCAAGGAAGCAACUGUGGAAAAUCGGAGACUGGCUGAAGCAGCCAAUGAAAAAGCAGAACAAGCAAAUCAAAAAGUUGAGGCUAUAAAAGGGGAGGUAAGGCCACUACACAAGCACAUUAGUGAUCAGCAGGCUUACCUGUCUAUGGUGGAAUUGAGAAACCGGGAAAACAAUCUGAGAUUAAGAGCUAUCCCAGAGCUUGAACAGGAAGAUUUAAUUGGUUAUCUGACAGCAGAAUUUUCCAAGUUCUGGGGUAUAGAAGAGGACAAAGAUUUCAAGAUCACAACUGCGUUCAGAUUAGGAAGAGUCGUGAGGAGGGACAAGCCCAGAGACUGUUUGAUUAUUUUGAGAUCCAAGCAGGAGAGAGAUAAAAUACUAGGCCUCCACUUUAAGAAAUCACUUGAUAUCCAAGGCAAAAGAGCAGAAUUUUAUAGAGAUAUUCCUAAACAACUUUUGGAUCUCAGAGCCACAUAUACAGACCUAGCAAGACUACUGAGAGGAAACGCGAUUCCAUAUAGGUGGGAGUUUCCCCAAGGUUUAUCUUUUAAUUUUAAAGGAAAGAAAAUUAAGAUUAAAACAUCAGAAGAUAACCAGAAGUUCCUGCACGACCACGGAGAAGACCUUCAGAAGGGAGCAGCAGCCUCUUGGCCACCGCCACUGCCUGGAAAAGCACCGAUACCUACACCCUCGGGGCCAGAAGAAAAGGAAGACACCCCACUAUAGGAACAACAGAUUGAUUCAGAAUGUCUCUGCAGCUGUACAGUUGGAAUAUAAAUGGCGGGAACUCCCGGAAAAAGACGAAGGAUUUUUCAUAUUUUGAAAAAGAACAAUUGGAUAUUGUUUGCUUGCAGGAAACGCAUGUGACUAGGCUCCAUAGGAAAGUGUUAAUCAACAAAAGACUAGGCCAAGAAUUUAUUUCAUCAGACAAAGUGAAGAAAAGAGGCGUAGUGAUUUAUGCAAAGGAGAACCUGUCACCGAAAUUUCUGUUUAAAGAUGAGCAAGGAAGAAUUUUGGCAAUUGAGAUACAAACACAAGGAGAAAAGUUUUUGAUUUUAGGAAUAUAUGCACCAAAUGAGGGGAAAUCGGAAUUUUACAAGAAGCUGCAUGAGAUAAUGCUGGACUAUCUGGACUAUACCAACAUCAUAAUGAUGGGCGAUAUGAAUGGGGUGGUUUCUACUCACAUGGAUAAGUCACAAAAUCAAAAUUUAACUAAAGACGGCAGACUACCUAAAACCUUCUUUGAACUAACUGAUAACAUGGACUUGAUUGAUAUUUGGAGGACAAGGAACCCCUUAGGUAAAGAAGGAACAUUCUUUUCUGAGGCCCACCUAUCAUGGACAAGAAUCGACCAAAUAUGGACAACUAGAGGACUGGCACCUAAGAUCAGAAAAGUGGAAAUCUGUCCAAAGACUUGCUCCGACCAUAAUGCUUUGAAAGUGGAAUUGAGACUUACUCCAACCGGUUCUUUCAGAUGGAAAAUGAAUGACACCCUACUAAGAGAUCAGGAGAUUGUGAAGAAGGCCCAAAAAUCUUUAAAGGACUAUUUUGAAAUCAAUUUGAACACUUCGGUGGAAAAGAGAACAAUCUGGGACGCAAGUAAAGCUGUAAUGAGGGGGUUUCUGAUACAACAGAACACAAUCAAGAAAAAACUUUGGAAUGGGAAAAAGAUAGGAUAUUAGAGAAGAUAAGAGAAGGAGAGAAAAAUUGAGAUUAAAACCAAAAUCAAAAGAGGUUUUAAGAGAAAUCAAAUUCCACCAAGCUCAAUAUGCGAAAUUGAUAAAUCAAGAAGUGGAAUGGAAAAUCAAACAAAUGAAACAAAGAUCAUUUGAAUCGGCAAAUAAAUGUGGAAAACUGCUAGCAUGGCAGUUGAAAAAGAGACAAAAAUUGAACUUUGUCACUAAUCUAGAGGUGGAAGGGAGAAACAUUCAGAAACCAGAAGAAAUUAGAAAGUGUUUCCAGAAAUAUUUCAAAAACUUUAUACACAAGGGCCUCAGGAAGUGUCUGAGAUAGAUCAAUUUUUAAAAGUUAACGGUCUAUCCAAACUAUCUCAGGAGAAGAGGACAAUCUUAAAUAAUAGAAUAACACGACAGGAAAUAGAGGGUGCCAUUCAGAAUAUGCAACUAGGCAAAUCUCCAGGCCCAGAUGGACUUACCUCCAAGUACUAUAAGACACUAAAAGACUAUUUGAUACAACCACUAAUGGAGGUCUGUAACCAGAUUAUGGAGGGGAGGAGGGCACCGGAAACGUGGAAAGAAGCUUUCAUCACAUUGAUUCCUAAAUUGGAAUCUGAAAAGACUCAGCUUAAGAACUACCGUCCCAUCUCACUCCUAAAUGUGGAUUACAAAAUUUUUGCUGAUAUUUUGGCGAGCAGACUUAAAAAAUACUUAACGAAGUAAUUCAUAAGGACCAGGCAGGCUUUCUCCCAGGGAGACAUCUUUUUGAUAAUACCAGGAACAUUAUUGAUAUUUUGGAACUUUUACAAACUAAUAUCAAUACGAAAGCUGUGUUAAUUUUCAUCGAUGCGGAGAAGGCCUUUGAUAAUAUUUCUUGGAUAUUUAUGAAGAGAAACCUGGAAGGGAUGGGAGUGGGACGGGGGUUUGAAAAUGGAAUAGAAGCAAUUUAUUCUGAGCAAAAAGCUAAACUGAUAGUGAACAAUGUGGUGACAGAUGAGUUCAAAAUUGAAAAAGGGACACGACAAGGGUGCCCCUAUCCCCUCUUUUAUUUAUUUCAGUCCUGGAGGUGUUACUGAACAUGAUUAGGAAGGACCGGUUGAUACAAGGAAUACAGGUCGGAGCGAAACAAUAUAAAUUGAAAGCUUUUGCAGAUGAUUUGGUUUUAACAUUACAGGAGCCAGAAUCUAGUACAAAAGAGUAUUAGAAUUGAUUCAUGAGUUUGGUCGGGUGGCGGGAUUUAAGUUGAAUAAGCAAAAACUAAGGUUUUGGGGAAAAACUUGACACCCUCAGAAAUAGAUGGGUUUCAGAAGGAAACAGAACUAAGUGUGGUAAAAAAAGUAAAAUACCUAGGGGUUCACUUGUCAGCGAAAAAUUUGAAUCUAUUUAAAGACAACUAUGAAAAAUGUUGGCUGGAAAUCAAAAAAGAUUUGGAAAUCUGGUCAAGAUUGAAACUUUCCUUGUUGGGUCGAAUUGCAGCUAUAAAAAUGAAUGUAUUGCCGAAAAUGUUAUUUUUGUUUCAAACCCUACAGAUUGUGGACAGAGUGGAAUGUUUUGGAAAGUGGCAGAAGGAUAUAUCCAAGUUUGUUUGGCAGGGCAAAAAGCCCCGGAUAAAGUUUAAAAUACUAACUGAUUUGAAAGAAAGAGGGGGGUUUGCCCUGCCGGACUUGAGAUUAUAUUAUGAAGCUGCGGCCUUCUGCUGGAUGAAAGAUUGGUUACUUCUUGAGAACACUGAUGUUCUAGAUCUGGAAGGGUUUGAUAAUGCUUUUGGUUGGCAUGCAUAUUUGUGGUACGACAAGGUAAAGGUUCAUAAAAUGUUCAAAAAUCAUAUUGUUAGAAAAUCAAUAUUUAUGGUCUGGACAAAAUACAAGGACUUAUUAGAGGGUAAGACUCCGAGGUGGCUUUCACCAGCAGAGGCCAAGGCCCGGAAAAACCUAAUAUGGAGGUUGGUUGGCUGAAAUAUGGGGAAAUUAUAGAAAAAGUAGGAGAAACUUGGAGGCUGCAGAGUUAUGAAAAAUUAAAGAAUAAGGUGCAAAAUUGGCUUCACUAUGCUCAAAUUCAAGAGGUUUUUAAGUUGGACAAAAGAACAGGUUUCCAGGUGGAAAAAUCGAAACUAGAGACAGAAUUGUUGGAACCAAAGACCAAGGUACUUUCGAGAAUGUAUAUCUUGCUGCUUAAAUGGAACACUCAGGAUGAGACAGUCAAAUCAGCCAUGAUAAAAUGGGCUCAGGACAUUGGGUACAACAUUAUGUUUGAAGACUGGGAAAGGUUAUGGACCACUGGUAUGAAAUUCACGGCAUGUAAUGCCUUGAAAGAGAAUAUUAUGAAAAUGAUAUACAGGUGGUACAUGACCCCAGUCAAGCUUGCUAAGAUAUAUCAUUUGUCUGAUAAUAAAUGUUGGAAAUGUAAGGAGGCUGAAGGGACAUUCUUUCACCUCUGGUGGACUUGCCCAAAAGUGAAGGCCUUCUGGGAAAUGAUCUAUAAUGAGUUAAAAAAGUGAUUAAGUACACUUUUCCCAAGAAACCAGAGGCCUUCCUACUGGGCAUUGUCGGUCAGAAGGUGUUAAAGAAGGAUAGAACCUUUUUAUGUAUGCAACUACAGCAGCAAGAAUUCUUAUCGCAAAAUACUGGAAGACUCAAGAUUUACCCACACUGGAAGAGUGGCAGACGCAAUUGAUGGGCUACAUGGAAUUGGCCGAGAUGACUGCCAGGAUCCGAGAUUUGGAGGAAGAAGCAAUGGAGGAGGAUUGGAAAAAAUUUAAAGAUUAUUUACAAAAAUUUUAUAAGUUAUAUGAAUGUUAAGAAUUCGCAUGAUUAGGGAAAUUCAGCUCCAGCAAUAAGAUUAAGGUAUGGGAAACUAAGCUAUAUUAAUGAAAGGACUAACGUUUAAAAGAACAUUAUAUAUAUUAUUAGUGUAAAUUGACAAUAAGCAUUUUAAACGUAAAUCACAAGUAUUUGAAAGAACAAAAGAAUGCACGAAAUAAGGUUAUAAUUUGCUGAAAAAUUUUAUUGUAAAGAACGCAAGGUGAGGGGGGCCGUGGGGCACUCCGGUUGGUUAUGGAAAAAUGCUUUGAAAAGAUGAUUUUCUUCUUUUUCUUUCUCUUUUCUGUUAUUUCUUUGUAUAUCUGACCUUGUAUUUCUAUUUGGAAAAAUGCAAUAAAAAAUAUUAUUAAAAAAAAAAAAAAAAAAUUCAAGGUGUGUGUGUGUGUGGGGAGACAAUACCCGAAUAUAAGCUGCUCCCUUAAUAUUCCGCAGGCACUCAUAUCCGGUCCAUUUUAAUGUAUGUCUGCUUCAGCAGCGAUAUUGUAAAAGCCAGCUUUCAUGAACUUAUAUUUAUCUCACAACAAGAUAGUCUAGAGGGAGAUAGGAGUUAGGUUUUUUAGUCUGUUUGCUUUGGUAUUAACCAUAUCAAUUCUGAUAUUCAACAAUACUUUCUAGUUAUGUCAUUUCUGGAUAUUGAAAUACCUGGGCUUCAUUUUCUACAGGUUGGAUGUAUCAUUCAGAAGUUCACAUCAUUUCAUUCUCCUAAACUUUGUAUAUUAAUAAAUAGAGAAAAUCAUCUAAAUGAUCUUCCGUAGUCUGCUGGUUUAAUUUCUGUAUUGUGUAAGCUCUGCUCCCUGUCCCAAAGAGUAGCAACUGACCUGGCAGAAAUGACUGGCAGAAUCCGUGACCAGGGAGAAGAGUCGGUGGAAGAAGAUUGGAAGAAAUUUAAAGACUAUUUACAGAAAUACUGUAAAAUUAAUGAAUGUUAGAAUGAUGUUGGAUUGAAGUUAAGGGGUUUCUAGCUGUAUGGGUACAAAAGAAUAUGGAAAAAUUGGUUUUUAAUAUGUAAAAAUCUAACGUCACAAUAUAUCAAGACUAAGGAAUAGGAGUAAAAAGGAGGGAAAGGAAUUGUUGAAUUAACAAUUGAAUUAGAAUACAAAAGAGGGAGGUAUGAGGAGGUCCGGGGAAACAAGUAAACGUAAAAGAAGUGAGGAAAAGAUGGAAUUGUUUUUAACUGCUUUUUCUUUUCUUUUUUCUAUUUUCUAUUUUUCUUUUUUAUUGCUAAUUUUUUUUAUUAAUGUGAUUUUUCCCCCCUUUGAAACUUUAAUAAAUUUUUUUUUUUUUUUUAAAGAGUAGCAACUGACCUUAGCCAAGCCUUGACUGGAGUCCAAUGGAUUUUAUUGCGUUGUCCAGGAUAUGACACCUUGUGCACUGAUGUUGAGUGGAUCACCAGAUUACCAGUGAGCCGGCAACAAGUUCAGCAUUGGAGGGAAGCAAUGAGAUGAUGCCAGAUAGUUGUAUCCCCUGCCUGCCAAACCUUUUCAGAGGAGGCAUAUUACGCUCAGUCAGGAAGGAAGACCGAGAGGCCUCCUCCUCCUACUCAGGUUCCUCCCAUUCAGGCCGCCAUUUAUAGAGCAAAACCAAGAUCAGAUGGGCAAGUAAAAAUAACUGACAGAACAGCCACCGAUGAAGCAUUUAGAAUAAGUUAAUUAGCCAAGAUUGCACCCUACUUAAUCUUUCAACACUUCAAAUUGGUGGAAAGCUUACUAAGCUCUCAGUCUUAUAGCAAUUCAACCUGUAGAAUUCCAAUGAAGGGUGCAAUAUAAAAUUAAUAAAUAAAGGUCCUAAGAAAGCUUAUGUAUGUAUGCAACCACAGCAGCUAGAACUUUAUAUGCACAGAAAUGGAAAGAGUUCCCCACCAAGGAGGAAUGGCUUAUGAAACUGGGGGAAUAUGCUGAAAUGGUGAAAUUACCUGCUAAAAUUACCAUCCAAAGUUACCAUCCUAAAUGAUGGAUUGUUUAAGGAAGAAUGGAGAUCAUGGAUAUAUUAUCUGUCAAACCAUCAUCCAUACAUGAAGUCAAAGGCAGAGGAUUAUUGAAAUACGACAUCGGGGCUUACAUAAUAAAAGCAUAUAUAUUUUAAAACAUCUGAUAAAAUGGAGUAAUAAAAACAAACAUCAAGAAAGGAGAGGUGGGGAGUCAAGAAGAAAUUAUGUAUUUAUUUUUACAAAUUGUAUAAGAAGAAAGGUGUUUUGGAAUAUCUAUGGAGAGUUUAUUUAAAAAAUUGUUUUAAAAAAAUAUAUUUUUAUUAAGGAUCCACCCAGAUUCUUAGGAAGUUGAGGAAAUAUGAGGAACAUACUUUUGUAUGUUCUGAAGUAAGUUUGUAAACUUUUUAAUGAUUGUCCUGCCUUAUCUUUACAUAAAGCGCUUUGGGAGUUAUUGGCCU